UCCCUAGCAUUGGUAUGCGCGAAAUACCGCUUCCAACGCAUUGAAAAGGUCCUUCGACCGUUGGGCAGUGGGAAGUCUGAAGAUUCUCAUUCAUGGCCAUUAAUCAUGCUUCGUUACCCUCUAUAGUUUCAAACCUUAAAGUUUUCUUUGCACAGAACCAACACCAAACGAAACUCACUACCAAAGAAUAUCCAAAAUCAACACACCAAAUCCAUGAUAUAUUCUGUUCAGGAUCUCAACUUAACAUAAUCAAAAUGGAGCAAGCAAGAUGAACAUCAAAUCAACCAGACUAGAAGAGAAAUUUCAGAUCUAAACAAUCAUGGUUGUUAAGCUAAUAUGAAGCACAUGAGCAAAGAUUUGAAGAGGAAAAGAACAAACUGAACCUUAACGGAAAACACACGUUUCCGGCGAGCGUGAGGGACGGAACCUGAUCUUGUGGCUUAGCUCGGAUUACUCAAAGUUCUAAGGAUAAACUUUGAGCACCCAUUUGGUACCUUUGAGCUUUGGUGCGGUUUGUGAUAGGAUUUCGGCAGGGUAACGAUACUCUUUUCUCCUCUUCUUCUUCAAAUCUUCGCCCUCUACUCGUCAAAGCGCUUUUGAAUGCUACCCGUUUGUAUGUUUGUCUGAGCUCAUCUAUAUUAGGGUUUCGGCAUGAAACUCUAAUAGAGAUUUAAAGUUUUUGAGCUUUUCUGAAAAGGGUUCUUGGGGAUUUUUCUGCAGAAUAACGGUACCGUAACAAUCUCUUCCUCUUGCAAUGAUUGGUGGCCUUUAUAUAGAGUCUUUAGGUACGAGGUUUCUUUCCUCGUCACCCCCUAUGAGCUGGCGAGCGGAUCAAGAUUUUUCCGUUAGGGAAAAUCUCUCACAGAUUCUGCGUGGUCCCUCCAAACGGAAGUGGUCCCAAAGUGAAGGUAUUAAGCAAUUGGUUUUGUCUUUAGCGGAAGCUUCAAAGGUGUGACCCAUUCUGCUGAUUCCUUCCUUAAACCUUCGAUGCAGUAAAAUGCAUGCUUGCUUGUGGUAAGAAAAUUUGAUUUUUACUGUUAUGUAAUUUCAUCCUUUUAUUCAAAAGACUCUACCGUUCUUUUCUUGUGUCAAUUUGGACUGUGAUGCUUGGUUUCUUGGCACUUUCGACACUUUACAUGAUUUUGUCUUGAUAGUGCAGGUCUUGCAAUAACCUCUCCUUUCUGUGUUUUCCAGGUCGCAACGCGAGUUUAGGUUCAUGGUUUCCCAGAUUGUAGUCACUAACUAGCAAGUAACUGGUGUAAUUUGGAAGGAACUCAAAUUUCCUAUGUAUCAUGAUCCAGAGAUCUUAUGACUUGUUAAGAAUGCGGGGAAAGAAGAUGCCGGUUUCGGUGUUGUUGCAAAUACAAUGCCUGUUUCGCUUGUAAUACCACGCUUAGCGUUUCUUGAGGUGUGUCAAAAACGAAAGGUGUGUGGAGUUGUCAUGGUCAAGAGGCAUGGCGUCUUAAACUUAAGUACUUUUGUAACGUUAUCCAAUCUGCGGCUUGGUGUAAACCGUGAGGUUGAACUCGGCUGCAUCUUUCCGUCGUUGCGACAUCGUUACUUGCUGCUGGAAGCGUCGAGAAUGUUGCCGGUAACGGCUUUGAUUUAUCUUAUUGGACGAUAGGUUGGAGCUAAUUUCCUUUACUGCUUUCAAUCAAUCUCUUCAUCAGCAGAGGGGCUUACUCCAGGUUCUACGGGUGUUGCAGCGUAUGACCUUGCAGUUUGGCGCAUCAGGAGGUUGUGGUUUUGGCGUUUGUAAUUUAGGCCUUAGGAUUUAUCAUAACUGACUGCACUGAAGUGUUUUUUGAAACACUUAUGUUUGUAGAUUUAGAACUUAUGGUUCCACUAAUGUAAUUUCAAGCUUAGCAACUCAAACCACAUGAUGUUUAUAUGUGAAAUCUAAUUGGAAAAUUGGCUUGCUAUUUAUUUGUUCACUCUGUCCAUGCUUUGGCAACUUUCUGGCAGAUUAUGUAUUCAUGGAAAUAGACAAAAGCGACCACAUUUUGUAAUGAUUUGAAAUGUAUUGAUUGUAAUUGAAGCAGGUGUUUAUACAUGCUGUAUUUGUAAAUGAAAGUAUGAUUUGGUAAAUGACCCAUGCUUAUUUUGAAAUCCCCAACAAUUAGUUGCAACGAGAAAUACUAGCGGACCAAGGACGGUUUAUGAAGGUGUGAGAAGAGGAAUUAUGGUUCUUGAGUUGUAACAUAAUUAAGUUGACUUUGGUUGAAAGUUCAUUUUUUUGUAUUUUCUUCAUGUACGGAGACUUAUAUAUAAUGAAUAACACUUAGUGCUUGAAAUGAACUUACACUUUGGAUUUUCUAUA